rnacentral:misc_RNA from 1 species
AACUUUUAACAAUGGAUCUCUUGGUUUUGGCUUCGAUGAAGAACGCAGCGAAAUGCGAUAAGUAAUGUGAAUUGCAGAAUCAGUGAAUCAUCGAAUUUUUGAACGCAUAUUGCACUCCUUGGCAUUCCUUGGAGUACACUUGUUCGAGCGCCGGUUGUCUCUUAAGGCUCUGCCUUGCGUUGAGAUCUCCCCAGCGGAGUGCUCCAAACACAUGGGCGUCUGUCGUGCCUGAACCGCAACAUUCUGCGUCUAAAGGACCCGGCUGCGCCAGUCAACCGUCUAGCAUGGCCUCGGAUCAAGUGGGGAUACCCGCUAAACUUAAGCAUAUCAAUAAGCGGAGGCU